rnacentral:misc_RNA from 1 species
UCUUGGACAUGCCUUGCAUGGCAGGCUCCCCGCACGUACGUGCGGCCAACUGUCAUGGGGCUGUCUUCUCAGUGUCCCUGCGUUUAACCAUUUUGGUUGCUCGGGGUGCGUCGGUUUUGGUUGCCUGUGCGGUCUUACCCUUGUUGGUAGCACAAUUGUCCCGCUGUUGCGUAUUUCGCUUGCCCCGUUGAUGCCAUGCAUCGAUGGGCGGCCGAGGCGUUGGCAAAUUCCAUGCGCUGCGAUGCACUUUGUGCGUCGGAACUGCCUAUCGGAUGUUUGCCGGGUCUCACGGAUAUCAGUCCCUACGUUGAGCGGUCUGCGGGCUUCAAGCCUGCAGGCUCAUGGUGUUGCCCGUACACAUAAAUUUGUUGUCGUUCCUCGACAUGCCGUGUUCUUUCGGGAUUCACGGCGAGGGAUCUUACUCGGCGCAUGUUUGUGUGUACGMGCAUAUCCUUACCGACCCGAACGAUACGCGAUUGCCGGUCCUCAUUGUCACGGGGCG